UCUGAGUUGCUGAAGGAAAGGAGACCAAGAUCAUUCUCUUCAAAGCAGUGACUUACUAUUUAUUGAAUAAGGAGAAGAAAGAAGACCAGGACCCAUUUUAAAUGAGUGUAUAAGCUCAAAAAAUCCAGCAGUGCCUCUGAAUAAUUAUAGCUGACCUGUUAAGGUGCCUGGAAAAUUGAAAGCUGUGAGGGGAAUCAGUAUGUCACAUAAGUAUGGAAG